CCUCCAGGUGUCACCACUUCGUUCAUGACAUCGUCCACGAUCAGAGACAUUGUCCCAUGCUUCGCAGAGCUCUGUACAAGAAUCGGUAGUGACACUGUGGUUCCUCGAUUUGACGGAGGAGGAGACUGCAUCACCUGAAGAGGACAACAACAGCAGCCAAACCCUCAUGAUGUUCUGAGAUGUAUAAGCUUAUCCUCAUGUGCUCAUCACUCCAUUUAAAGUGGGAUGAGAGAAUAAAAGUGUCUGGUCAAACAUCUGUCAUUAUCUCUGCUGUGGUUUGUUUAAUGUUGCUAAGAACACAAUAAAGUUUUGUUGCUUAA